CCUACGGGAGGCAGCAGUGGGGAAUAUUGCACAAUGGGCGAAAGCCUGAUGCAGCGACGCCGCGUGAGGGAUGACGGCCUUCGGGUUGUAAACCUCUUUCAGCAGGGAAGAAGCGAGAGUGACGGUACCUGCAGAAGAAGCGCCGGCUAACUACGUGCCAGCAGCCGCGGUAAUACGUAGGGCGCAAGCGUUGUCCGGAAUUAUUGGGCGUAAAGAGCUCGUAGGCGGCUUGUUGCGUCGGUUGUGAAAGCCCGGGGCUUAACCCCGGGUCUGCAGUCGAUACGGGCAGGCUAGAGUGUGGUAGGGGAGAUCGGAAUUCCUGGUGUAGCGGUGAAAUGCGCAGAUAUCAGGAGGAACACCGGUGGCGAAGGCGGAUCUCUGGGCCAUUACUGACGCUGAGGAGCGAAAGCGUGGGGAGCGAACAGGAUUAGAUACCCUGGUAGUCCACGCCGUAAACGUUGGGAACUAGGUGUUGGCGACAUUCCACGUCGUCGGUGCCGCAGCUAACGCAUUAAGUUCCCCGCCUGGGGAGUACGGCCGCAAGGCUAAAACUCAAAGGAAUUGACGG
rnacentral:rRNA from 1 species